ensembl:lncRNA
GGGGGGGUAGGGGGCGGUGGGGGUCCGACCAGCGGAGAAGGGCAGGAUGCCGCCCGUUAUCCUUCUCCACCUCUGUCGCAGAACAAUGGAUUGGCCUCCGCGGACCUACCAGUGACCCCUCACUCACGAAGAGCCUCAGCAACACAGACAGGUCGACAGUCUCUUGGGAAGCUGGGCUUGUGGCCUCCACCCCAGACGGAUGAUAGUUUGGACGGCCAGUCUGAGGGCCUCCAGAGUCCUCACACUCCCAGGCUGAAGACUCCCCUGCUGCAGCGCUGGGAGUCGGGCAUGGUCAUGAACGGCACUGGAGCGGAGGAGGAAGACUGACAUGGCCCUCGAUCAGUUCGUCCUUGUAGAUCACAAUCGAUAAUAUUCCAUGGACAGCGAAGACCUGAUUCUAAAUCGGCACUCCUGGUCGCGGACACUUCACGAGCACGGGCGCUGAUCUACGGCUGAACGCCCAGGGAAAGGACACCGGGAAGAAUCGCAGCGGUGAAAUGGAGAAUUAGAAGUCAAGGAAAUCUGAAAUUGCACUGUUUGAAUAUCAGGACUUUGGAACUGAACUGUAUGUGUCGUGAGAGUAGCUGCCCAGUAUGAGAGCUUUUGGUCCCUUACAGUAAUUUGAAUGUGUUUUUCCCCAGAUGAUAAGAACUAAAUUAUCUACGGAAUGUUUAUGAGGCAGGAGGUUGUUGUUUUCCAUGUGCCAGUAUAGAUGUUAUAUGUGUGUGUGUUUAUAUAUUAUCCCAAGUUUCUGUUAACUCUAGCUAAGCCUUGUAUAUGUAAGGUGACGAGAAUGCUCUCACAUACAGGCAAAGAGUUUGCAUCCUUUUGUAGUGAAUAGCAUUGUAGUGUAACUGAACUCAUCUCAACCAAAUCAGGGUGGUCAACUCCUUAGUAAAAAAAAGAACAUCAGAUAUGACGCUAAUAAUAUCUCUGCCACAAGUGCCACACAA